ACCUCCUAGGUGGGAUGAAAAUAUAAUGGUCGAGUGAGAGCUACUCUCUAAAACACCUAAAAAAGUUGAUAUCUGGCCUGCAUGGAACAGAAGCACCCUCAGAAAACACACAGCAUCAUGGGAAAUGGAAACAGUCGAUACCCUGUUAAGUCUGACAUAUAUAUAACGGCAAGAAAAUAUGAGCUGCACUAUUACUUCUACCAUAACGGCAAGAAGCGGGCGCACCUAAAGUCACUAUCAGUCUGGUUCUGGAAGAACUUUUCUGAGUAUCUCAUGGACCAUGUUUCAUGGUUUAAGAAAUACAAACAAGUUCUGAGUUUGUAGAUGUUAAACCACAAGCAAAAUAUGCAGCACCGAACACCGAGCACUCGGGUUCCGCCGUCAGCCUGUCAGUGCGUUGCGCCCCAUUCCGCCGUCCCGGUCCCCCUCCCGCUUCCCCGGUUCACCACCUUCUCCAGCGCGUCGGGCGGCCCGCUCGAGUUGCCGCAUCCCCGCGUCGCAGUCCCGUUGUAUCCAACGGCGGCGCUAAACCGCUCCCAGAGGUACUGCAUGUUCAGCGGCAUCUGCAGCGCCAACGAGAACAUGGAGAGGAAGAGCACCGGCUCCACGGUGACGCCGAGCCGGCGGGGAAAGCAGCUCGGCUCCAGCUUCGCCCGGCCCUCCGGCUCCGGUCUCCCCUCGUCCUCCGAGGCUGAUCGGCUCUGGCCUAAGUCCGAUAUGCCGUCGGCCUCCGGGAGAAGCGCUUCGGUGUCCGCGGCGUCCAUGACCAAACUGGAGCUUCUCUCGCAGACUAACCCACAGUAUCUACUUCCUGGACGCGUAGCACCUAAAAGAUAACUAAUGAAAACCUCGGCUCCCAACCAAAAAGCGCUGUUGUGUUAAUCAUUUUACACGUUUCGUGUAGUCCGUUAUACAACAAAACGAUGAUACGUUUAUACGUAUAUAAGUUAAGCUGACCUGAGUGCUAUUCCAUAAAGCGGGCAACAGGUGGCGUCGUGGUUCAAGGACUGCGCUGCAGAUGCUAAAGUGCUUUUAAUGUUUUAGAUUAAUUAUCCGACAUUGUGAGCGAGGUUUGUGUAUUGCCUUGAAUAAAACGGUGAGGUAAACGGUCUAUAUACAUCUAUAGAGAUUCCCAAACAAGACAUAAGGCAGACUUGUCACAUACCUAAGUUUGUGAUGGUAUUUUCCUGACAUCACUGUUUUUUAGACUCUGCAUUUUCUCAGAGUUAUAGCAGGUAAUGAUUAAGUCCUUCAGUACAAGCUCUCCCUGAAGUCUUGAUAAAAGAGACUUAGACCUGUUUAUCUCUUCGGUGACAUUGAUUACUCUGCAGUUCCUUGAAAUCUUCCUGCCAACUUCUUAAACAAGCAGCGCAUCUUUAUCAAAGAACGAGGCUGUAACUGCAGUGCGGGACGCGCUCACUCUGCCGUUCUGAUACCAACAGCAGCACCUGCCUACCUGCUCUGAGACGCUGGGCUCGUAAAUUUCGUUUUAUCUCGCUGUCCUCACUUUAACCUCUUUCGUCUGUUUCUGCAGGAAAAAUCUUGUGUGAUUUUGUUUUCCUGGCAUAACAUUUGGACUUCAACUAGAAAAACAAAGUUUAUUCAAAUCAGCAGUUGGUUUAUAAAGAAUUAGCGAAAUUUGUUAAUUUUCAUACAAUUUAGUAUCCCAAAAGUCCAAAAAAUGUAUCUUCAACCGAACUUAUGUAUUAUUAACUUUAUCCCCAGUUCUGAAAGUCUUAAAUCUGUUAUUGCUGGUAUUCAAGAAUCGACUGACUGACUGACUGACUGAUGACUCAGAUGAAAUGCUACCAAAAGUGUAUUUUUUAUUUUAACAAAAUAUGGGAUUGCACUAAUAUGGAGAAUUCAUGAAUGGAAUGAGACACCGAUGAGCAAAGAGCUGCUCCAUGUCCACAUGUGACGUUUGUACAGAUGGCAGGGCACAGGAGACUCAGUACUUUUGUGAAGCUUUUGCUACUGGACUUUGAACAUCUCUGGUAACCUUAGCAAUGCUGCACACAUACCUGGAUUUUAAAAGUUGUGAGUAAGUGGCGGUUGUCAUGGUUAUGUAAGGUCACGCUGAGUGUGCGUAUGCUCUCUGAAUAAAGGUUUUUGCUUA